UACAGAGGGGGCAAGCGUUGUUCGGAAUUACUGGGCGUAAAGGGCGCGUAGGCGGCCUUCUAAGUCGAACGUGAAAUCCCCGGGCUCAACCCGGGAACUGCGUCCGAUACUGGAAGGCUUGAAUCCGGGAGAGGGAUGCGGAAUUCCAGGUGUAGCGGUGAAAUGCGUAGAUAUCGAGAGGAACACCUGCGGCGAAGGCGGGUUGCUGGGCUGACACUGACGCUGAAGCGCGAAAGCUAGGGGAGCGAACGGG
rnacentral:rRNA from 1 species